UUAAAAUUGAAUGGCGAAUGUCGGUAUGGUCUCUUUUUCAAAGAAGGUUUCGAUCGAGCGAAGUGACUAGACCGAACACUCGUGCUAUAAUUUUAAAA
rnacentral:pre_miRNA from 1 species